CCCUACGGGGUGCAGCAGGGCCGUCUGCUUCUGCUAUCGCCGUUUGCCACGUAUGAACGUCGCAUGACCCGGCAGACGUGUGAGCGUCGUAACAGCUUCGUUGCCGCGCUGGCGGAUCGCGUCUUUGUGUCCUAUGCGGCACCACGUGGCAUGGUCGCGCGUCUCUGUCUUUACCUUAUCGCCCAGUGCAAGUCACUGUUCACGUUUGACAGCGAGUACAACCGGAACAUCCUGGACAGAGGGGCGGUGGGCAUUUCGUGCGAUGAACAUGGACUG
rnacentral:rRNA from 1 species